GGGAAACACGGGGCCCUGUGAGACAGGAAAUCUAGGGUGUUGUGUAGCUCCAUUACCAUCCUCUUCUUUUAUGGAUUCAGUGUCUUGUUCUUUUGUUCCAUGUGAGAAUCAUCCCUAUCCUGCCUACAUUAGAAAGCUGGAGAAAUAUGAAGUAAGUGAAAACAUGUGGAAAAUGUACUAAAAUAUUAAUGCAAGGAUGCAAGGUAUAAGCUUUGCUGGAACAUUAGCUCCUCAUUUAUUAGUAACAUUACAGGCAUUUGAAAAUAUGUACUUUAUGUGGGACCUAUGUUUUACAUAUAUGCUAAUCAUCCUAGAAACCCUACAAGGUAGGUGUUACUUUUUUCCAUUUUACCAUUAAGGAAAUUAUCCAGGUUUACACAACCGGAACCCAGGUCUCUGUCGGUACAAAACUGUCUACUCUUCCAAACUGUUUUAUCUAUCCAAAUUUAUUUCCUCCAUUAAACAUUAGUUGAACACAACGUGGUGUAUCACCCAAGGUCAGCUGGCACCUUGAAAACUAUGUGUUACUCAGCCUCUUAGCACCUAGCAAAGAGUGGAGCAUAUAACAGUCUUUCAAUUAAGUUUUGUUGAAGAAAGAAAUGAAGGCUCUUGGUCUUUAGAAAUUCAUAAAUCAGCUGAAGAGACAGAUUUACUAACCAAUAGCAUAUGAUCAGCAUGUUCUAAUUGGUAAUGUCUCUGGAAUAAGACAGCCGGCCGCAAAAAAAUGUCUGACUUUUGCAGAGAAACUCCUAGUAUGAGUUUGACUGCUGUCCCACAUCUACCUAUGUGGCCAUAGUGCUGUAGCCACUGUUGUUACCCUAAGAGGACAGCCUUAUUCCUCCAGGUCUCUUACAACUCUCUUUUAAGGAACUUGUAUUAGAUCCCUAGAGCUGCUGUAACAUAUUGCCCCAAUCUUGGUGACUUAAACCAACAGACAUUUAUUAUCUCAUAGUUCUGGGGGCUAGAAGCCUGAAAUCAAUGUGUCUGCAGGCUUCACUGUCUCUGAAUUUUUUUAUGAGAACAUUUUUCAUUUGAUUUAGGGCCUACCUGGGUAAUCCAGGAUGAUAUCAUCUUAAGAUUCCUAAUUUAAUGAGACCUGUAAAAUCCAUCUUUCCAAAUAGGUCACAUUAACAGCUUCUGAAGACUAAGGCAUGGACAGAUCUCAUUGGAAGCCAUCAUUCAACCAACUGCAAAGCUUUAGCCAAUUCCCAGCUAUGAAUUCUUCCAAGAUGAAAGGAUACCAAGCUCAAGACCCUCCCUUGUUCAUUUGAAGCCUUCCCAAAGAUGACUGACAACUUCACAGAUUUCAUUUGGUUUCAUUUCCUAUCUUAAUGAAAAAAAUGAUAAUGUUUAUACUGUAUGAUAAUGAAAACAUCAUGUAAAGAUUACUCUUUAUCUAAAUGUUAGCACAUAUUUUUGAACAUCUAUCAUUUUUCCAGCAGUUAUGAUUUUUUCUUCCCAAGAAUAUGGGAAUGAGGUGAAACUGACAACUUUUCCCCCACACAUUGUAUCCUCUUUUAACGCCACCCUGUGUUUAACAGCACCUGACAGAAUGUAGGAGCAAUCCAUGGUGCUCAAAGAAUGUUAUGGAAUUUAACAACAAGUAUAUAUAUUUGUUUUGAUCCAGUGUCUCAUCUGACUACCUUGGGCUACAGGAAUACCCUAGGUGAGAAGGGAAAGUUGGGUUCUAGCCCAACUCCUGUUACUAAAUCUCUGAGCUCCAUGACCCUUGGAUAUUCUAGUUGUUAUUACUACAAAACUUAGUGGCUUAAAGCCAUCUUUUCAUUUUGCUCAAAUUUUGUGGGUCAGAAAUUUGGGAAAGGAUUAGGCUGGAUAGUUUUCACUUGGAGUUUCUUCUACCAUUGCAGUCAUAUGUCAACUGGGACUGAAAUAAUCUGAUAGCUUAGCUAGGCUAGAUACCCAAGAUGCCUCACUCUGGUGGUUAGUGCUGGUAGUUAACUGGGAGAUCAUUUGGGACUGUCAUCUGGAACACCUGCACAUGGCUUUUUCAAGUGGCAGUGUUAAGACAAUAGUUCUAAUAUGACAUCUGGCUUCCUCUAGGGUGAGUGUAGAACCUGUGGAAACUACAUGGAUAUUUAUGACAUAGCCUUGGACAUCAUAUAAGAUCACUUCUCCCAUACUCGAUUGAAACAAGCAGUUGCGAGUCACCCAAAUUCAAAGCAAUGGGACAUAGCUCCCCACCUCUCAAUGGGAGACGUGACCAAGAAUUUGGGAGCAAUAUUUUAAAACCACCACAGGUACUUUAUACUACAUGAGUCUAGCUCUUCUCUAUAAAAUGGGACUACAUUGUCUCUAAGACUCCUCUAGGGCUUAAAGUCUAUGGAGCACUUUCCUUUAAUAAUCUUAAUUUAUAGAUACUUACAUUAGUAUUUGUAUGCCAAUUCUUUUCUAUCAUAAAAUAACCAUAGUACAUAGAAUUUUUAAAAAUAGAAAAAAAGGCUCAGUUUCAAUGCCUAAAUCUUUAUAUAUUUACGUAUUUAGAGUUAUUUUCUGUGUUUUUGUUUGUUUGUGGUGUCUUGUGUAUCUCUCUGUGUGUGUGAGUGUGGUGAACCUAACAGUACAUCAUUUUAGCAUCUUUUCUCAGAAUUAAGCCAGAAAAACAUUCUGAAAGGUUGUUUGUUUUGUUUUGUUUUGUUUUGUUUUGUUUUUGAGAUGGAGUCUCGCUCUGUCACCCAGGCUGGAGUGCAGGGAGGCAAUCUUGGCUCACUGCAAGCUCCGCUUCCCAGGUUCACACCAUUCUCCUGCCUCAGCCUCCAGAGUAGCUGGGACUACAGGCACCCGCCACCACACCCAGCUAAUUUUUUUUUUUUUUUUUUUUUUUGUAUUUUUGGUAGAGAUGGUGUUUCACCGAGUUAGCCAGGAUGGUCUCCAUCUCCUGACCUUAUGAUCUGCCCGCCUGGGCCUCCCAAAGUGCUAGAAAUACAGGCAUGACCCACUGUGCCCAGCCUGAAAGCUGGUUUUUAAAGACCAUCAGUUGCCAUUACAAGUAAACAUACUAUGCAACAGUAACAUUUAAUAUCCCAAUUAAAUUGUAGUGGUCGUUGACCUCAGAUUACAAACUCAGGUGGGCCAGAAAUGUCUUAUUUUACAAUAAAUUUGUUUUAAUUUU
ensembl:lncRNA